rnacentral:rRNA from 1 species
ACAGCAGCCGCCGCGGUAAUACGAAGGGUGCAAGCGUUACUCGGAAUUACUGGGCGUAAAGCGUGCGUAGGUGGUGGUUUAAGUCCGUUGUGAAAGCCCUGGGCUCAACCUGGGAAUUGCAGUGGAUACUGGGUCACUAGAGUGUGGUAGAGGAUAGUGGAAUUUCCGGUGUAGCAGUGAAAUGCGUAGAGAUCGGAAGGAACAUCUGUGGCGAAGGCGACUAUCUGGGCCAACACUGACACUGAGGCACGAAAGCGUGGGGAGCAAACAGGAUUAGAUACCCCUGUAGUCCCUGUCUCUUAUAC